UACGUAGGGUGCAAGCGUUAAUCGGAAUUACUGGGCGUAAAGCGUGCGCAGGCGGUUCUAUAAGACAGAUGUGAAAUCCCCGGGCUCAACCUGGGAACUGCAUUUGUGACUGUAGAGCUGGAGUACGGUAGAGGGGGAUGGAAUUCCGCGUGUAGCAGUGAAAUGCGUAGAUAUCAGGAGGAACACCGGCGGUGUAGACGGCUUACUGGACCAUGACUGACGCUGAGGCACGAAAGCGUGGGGAGCAAACAGG
rnacentral:rRNA from 1 species